CAUCCUUGUAGGACCUCAGCGAGCGGUCAGUGUACACACAUACACAGACUUUGCGUCUUCUGCCCGCGGAGGCUGCUCUUCAGCACCCGGCGCGAGAACAAUUCCCCAACUUCACUUCACGUGCGCUCGAGACGCCGCGCGCGCACACUCACAUUCUGUCACAUUCGACGGUAAGCGCUCACGCAAGAAAACCUCUGUCUGACUGACUGUCUCCGAGAAGAAGAAGAAGAAGUAGAAACAGAGAGAGAAAGAGAAAAAGAAAGAGAACGAGAGAAUCUCUCCUCACCGAGCUGCUUAUUUUCUCUGUCAAGCGUGUAUCAUCCGCUGUGUGGUGAAAAGCGCAGACCUGCGUGGGACCGAUUUCCCGCCGCUGCAAGGAAACACCAACCGUCCUCUGAAAGGCCUCUGCAUCUUCGUCCUGAAGCAUGACUAUUCGUGCAUAAAUGCAUCUCUUUCUGUCAACACAGCAGUCUGACCAUUAAACGCAGUCUGGGAGGAAAUGCGAGAAAAGAGGUUGAUUUGCUGAUUCCCAGCCUUGAUGCUCUGAUGUCUGCUGGCCCUUGACCUUCAUCCAUGGAUUAGUUCCUUUACGCUUGAGGCAGAUCUGACUGACCAGAUGGUAUCCCUAUGUGUCACUUCUUGAGGGUCAGGUGAGUGAUGCCCUGUUUGAAAUGACAUUUAGUUACUCCAUUUGGUCAGGGCUGUUAAAAAGAUUAACCUUGAGAACAAGAAAUAAUAAAUGGGAUGUAAUGCUAUGCAUUACUAUGAAUCAGAGACAGCUAGGCACAAAAAAUAAGUUGCGAAAUCCAUACGGAUCAAACAUCUCUAUGCGAACCAGUCGCUUGGCCCGUCAACAAUCAAAAUGUUUUAAUACGGCUUGAUUUUCUUUGUAGCGUAAAGCCUGAGCAUUUUCGUGAAUGCAUAUUGUGUCCGUGUUAGUGUGUCAGUGUGUACAAGACAUAUUUUCUCCCAUCCCUCCGAGGCUUAACGGCGUUGUCCAAUCAGCGACAGGCGCUGCCUAGAUGAGCCAAUGAGGACACAAUUGGAUAGUAUUCGUUCUUUGGAAUCAAAGGCGCAGCACUCCUAUGAUAUUAAAAUGCACUCUGUCUUUGUUCGUACCACGCCAAACCAAGAGUGAAAGGGGGAGGGUAAGGGGAGAAAAAACACACUCCACCAAAAAAACCUUUUUGUAUUCCUCCCCAUAUGUCUCUGCGGGUGGGCACGCAAUGACUCUCCCACUUCUUGCUUUGAAAUCUCUGCCACUUCAGCUGCCUCCUUGAGCUUUUGUCAGCUUGAGACGCCGCACCUCGAUGAAGUAGGGCAACUAGAGUGCAGUCUACAAUCCUUACCGCCGCCAUCUUGGCCCUUGUCAUUUCCUUUACUUGUUUUGUCCCAGUUUUCAGUGUUAUAAAGCUAUACAUCCAGGUUUUUAACCCGCCCCAGUUGUUCAUCUUAACACGUUUAAUAUCUUUCUUUUCGUUGCUUUGUUUCGACUUCACGUUUUCCAUAGCAGUUGACCUUUCUCUUCGUAGUAAUGGUACAUAUUGUUAGACUCUUCCUUCAAAUUCAAAAAGAAAGGGGUUUUGAUUUAUGUUUUCUCUUGAUUGAAUGGGCCAGUUUUCCGUUCUUUUUUCUGUAUGGAGUGGAGAUAUUAUUGGGCAAAUUGCACGGCUUUCAUGCAGAUAAAUGGGCGUUCGAUAAAAGCCGCAGUGUUUUUUGAAGCAGCCAGAGAGCCGGGCUGCAUUGGGUGAUAACUUCAUCGCAGCGUGGGGUCAGGGGCAGGAAGAGAAACCCGGCUGAAAGGGGAUUAAGAGGAGCCAUCGAAGAGCUCUGGACUCGGACCACCUGCCGGGGAGCCCAGGCCUGGUCCGUGCCUAAUGUUUCUGAUCAGCUAUGCCAUUGUCUGUGUUCCCCUCUUUCUUUUCUCCCUUCACAAGAAAGAAUAGGACUGCCUCCACAUUUCCCUGAGCUCAGAUUAGCUGUUGGCCCCCUUUUUUUUGGCGUUGUCAUAUACUUGCCACUAUUUUGUAACCGAAGUUCAGGGAUCUGUUGAUGGUGCCCUCCGUUUAGAUAUGGGAUGAUGAAAAUAUGCAAAGGGGAUCAUUUACCCACAGUUUCUGUCAUUGGUUUCUAACCGCUACGUUGCUACAAAACCAUAUGCCAUUUUUAUGUCCUGGUCAAAUAUCCCGGUGAUGCUCUGGA